GCCCGGCUAGCUCAAUCGGUAGAGCGUGAGACUCUUACGAUCAAUCUGCGAUCUCAAGGUUGCGGGUUCGACCCCCGCGUUGGGCU